rnacentral:lncRNA from 1 species
GGGUGAAUACGCCAGAAUAUUUACAAGUAGUUAAUGUUAGACUAUAGGAUGGACACUUUUAGUGAUAAGAUUAUAAAAAAAAGUAUCAGUUUGUUCAAAAUCAAAAUUCGAUUUUCAUCUCGCAUCGUGUCGAAUUUGCUAAACAUAGCAUGUAUGCAAUAGAAUCAUUCGUGUAAGUCCUCACAGAUUGUCAUUGAAUACUGCAUUUUUUACCUGUAAGAAAAGCAGAACAUGUAGUUAAAUAUUUAAAGAAAAGUAUUCUGAAUUCAUAUACUAAAUUCCACAUGUGGAGCAGGAUCUGCCGAGCACCUGAGAUCACCUGAGAUCACCUGAGAUCAUUUUUGGUGUGGUUCGUGUUGCUCAGUCUUUGGUUUUCUAUGCUGUGUCAUGUUUACUAUUAUUUGUCUGUUUGGGUUUUUUUUUUUCAUUUUUAGACAUGGCUUUGCCAGUUUGUUUUCGAUCUAUGAAUUUCUGGUAUCUCUUGCCCCUCUUUUCCAAAAUACAAAUUUACAAGAGAGAGAGAGAGAGAGAGGGGGGGGGGAAAUAAAAAGAAACAAUCAGUUGUCUCUCAAAAAGAGUUAAAUGUCAGUGGUCUACAGCAGGUACAUCGUAAAAAAAAACAACCCAGUAUAACAAACCAAAAUGCCUAUUUCACUAGAUCAAAUUAAUAAUAACUUGCAGAGUCUAUAAUUUCUUUGUACCAAGCGGGAUAUAAAUGUCACAACAAAUAUAAAAAAUAAAAUAUGUAUAAAUAGCU